rnacentral:rRNA from 1 species
GACGAACCCCCCAAACGUUAUUCGGAAUUACUGGGCUUAAAGAGUGCGUAGGCGGUCUUGUAAGUAGGGUGUGAAAUCCCACAGCUCAACUGUGGAACUGCGCUCUAAACUACAAGACUAGAGGGAUAUAGAGGUGAGCAGAACUGAUGGUGGAGCGGUGAAAUGCGUUGAUAUCAUCAGGAAUACCGGAGGCGAAGGCGGCUCACUGGGUAUCUUCUGACGCUGAGGUACGAAAGCUAGGGGAGCGAACGGG